GAGGUCUCCAAGGAGUCCGGCGCCCGCGCAGGCUCUGCGGCUCCUGGGGAGGUGACGCAGUCUCCGCAGGCCGGCGAUUCAGCCGGUGGCUGUGGCUGCGGCGCCGGGGUCCCGGCCGCGACGGCGUUCAGAACGGGCUGCAGAGGCUGCUCCCCGGCAGGCUUAACCUCCACGGUCUGCCCAGCGUCCGGGGACCCCUCAAACGACUGUAGCGGCGGCUGUGUCCCUGGCACAGGGGCAGAGCCCGGAGACGGAGCCGCCGGACCUUCCCCAACUCCAAAGUCGGUGCCAUUGAAUUUCAGAGUUUCCAGCUGAGCGGCGGCGGCCUCCACUACCUCCAUCGCACCGCGCCAGAAACCGGGUCGGCCUCAGGAUUGGGGCCCCUGGACAAGCUCACGGCUCUCUCCAGAAAUAGAAAAACAACUUAGGCAACCGCAGCAACACUGCCUGGGCCCAACUUCCCGCGUUUCUCAGCUGUGAGACCAAGAACCUUGGUAUUUACCCC
rnacentral:lncRNA from 10 species